rnacentral:ncRNA from 13 species
GCGUGGCCGAGUGGUUAAGGCGUUAGAUUGCUAAUCUAAUACCCUUCGGGUGCGCGUGUUCGAAUCACGUCGC